rnacentral:rRNA from 1 species
UCGAGGAUCUUCGGCAAUGGGCGCAAGCCUGACCGAGCGACGCCGCGUGCGCGAUGAAGGCCUUCGGGUUGUAAAGCGCUGUCGAGGGGGAGAAAACCGCAAGGUUGAUCUAUCCCUGGAGGAAGCACGGGCUAAGUUCGUGCCAGCAGCCGCGGUAAGACGAACCGUGCGAACGUUGUUCGGAAUCACUGGGCUUAAAGGGCGCGUAGGCGGGCUGCCAAGUCCGGGGUGAAAGCUUUCGGCUCAACCGGAAAAGUGCCUUGGAUACUGGCGGUCUCGAGGGAGGUAGGGGCAUGUGGAACUUCCGGUGGAGCGGUGAAAUGCGUUGAUAUCGGAAGGAACGCCGGUGGCGAAAGCGACGUGCUGGACCUCUUCUGACGCUGAGGCGCGAAAGCUAGGGGAGCGAACGGGAUUAGAUACCCCCGUAGUCC